rnacentral:lncRNA from 1 species
UUUUUUUUUUUUUUUUUGUAUUUCAAUUUUUUCCCGCUGUACAGUAUGGGGAUCAAGUUAUCCUUACAUGUAUACAUUUUUUCCCCACCCUUUGUUCUGUUGCAACAUGAGUAUCUAGACAUAGUUCUCAAUGUUACUCAGCAGGAUCUCAUUGUAAAUCCAUUUGAAGUUGCAUGCGAUAACCCCAAGCUCCUGGUCCCUCCCACUCCCUCCCCCUCCCAUCAGGCAGCCACAAGUCUAUUCUCCAAGUCCAUGAUUUUCUUUUCUGAGGAGAUGUUCAUUUGUACUGGAUAUUAGAUUCCAGUUAUAAGUGAUAUCAUAUGAUAUUUGUCUUUGUCUUUCUGACUUACUUUACUCAGUAUGAGAUUCUCUAGUUCCAUCCAUGUUGCUACAAAUGGCAUUAUGUCAUUCUUUUUAAUGGCUGAGUAAUAUUCCAUUGUGUAUCUACACCACAUCUUCCUAAUCCAAUCGUCUGUUGGUUGACAUGUGGGUUGUUUCCAUGUCCUGGCUAUUGUGAAUAGUGCUGCAAUGAAGAUGCUGGUGCAUGGGUCUCUUUUAAGUGGGGUUUUGUCCAGAUAUAUGCCCAAGAGGGGAAUUGUGGGGUCAUAUGGAAGUUCUAUGUAUAGAUUUCUAAGGUAUCUCCAAACUGUUCUCCAUAGUGGCUGUACCAGUUUACAUUCCCACCAACAGUGCAGGAGGGUUCCCUUUUCUCCUACAGCACUUGUUAUUUGUGGACUUAUUGAUGAUGGCCAUUCUGACUGGUGUGAGGUGGUAUCUCAUGGUAGUUUUGAUUUGCAUUUCUCUUAUAAUCAGCGAUGUUGAGCAUUUUUUCAUUGUUUGCUUGCCAUCUGUAUAUCUUCCUUGGAGAAAUGUCUAUUCAGGUCUUUUGCCCAUUUUUCCAUUGGGUUGUUGGCAUUUUUGCUGUUAAGUUAUAUAAGUUGCUUAUAUAUUCUAGAGAUUAAGCCCUUGUCGGUUGCAUCAUUGGAAACUAUUUUCUCCCAUUCUGUAAGUUGUCUUUUGGUUUUCUUUUGGGUUUCCUUUGCUGUGCAAAAGCUUGUCAGUUCGAUUAGGUCCCAUUGGUUUAUUUUUGCUCCAAUUUCUGUUGCUUUGGGAGACUGACCUGAUGAAAUAUUCAUGAGGUUGAUGUCAGAGAGUGUUUUGCCUAUGUUUUCUUCUAGGAGUUUGAUGGUGUCCUGUCAUAUAUUUAAGUCUUUCAGCCAUUUUGAGUUUAUUUUUGUGCAUGGUGUGAGGGUGUGUUCUGGUUUCACUGCUUUGCAUGCAGCUGUCCAGGUUUCCCUACAAUAUUUGCUGAAAAGACUGUCUUUUUCCCACUUAAUGUUCUUGCCUCCGUUGUCACAGAUUAAUUGACCAUAGGUGUCUUCGUUUAUUUCUGGGUUCUCUAUUCUGUUCCAUUGGUCUGUCUGUCUGUUUUGAUACCAGUACCACACUGUUUUGAUGACUGUGGCUUUGUAGUAUUUCUUGAAGUCUGGGAAAGUUAUGCCCCCUGCUUGGUUUCAGUUCCUCAGGAUUGCUUUGGCAAUUCUGGGUCUUUUGUGGUUCCAUAUAAACUUUUGGAUUGUUUGUUCUAGUUCUGCGAAAAAUGUCAUGGGUAAUUUGAUAGGGAUUGCAUUGAUUCUGUAGAUUGCUUUGGGUAGUAUGGCCAUUUUUACAAUAUUGAUUUUUCCAAUGCAUGAACAUGGAAUAUCUUUCCAUUUCUUUACAUCUUCUUUAAUUUCCUUGAUUAAUGUUUUAUAGUUCUCAGCAUAUAAAUCCUUUACCUCCUUGGUCAGGUGUAUUCCGAGGUAUUUGAUUUUUUGAGGUGCAAUUUCGAAAGGUAUUGUAUUUUUGUAUUCCUUUUCUGAUAUUUCAUUGUUGGUAUAUAGAAAUGCAACUGACUUCUGAAUGUUAAUCUUAUAUCCUGCCACUUUGCUAAAUUUAUUAAUCAGUUCAAGUAGUUUCUGGAUUGAGUCUGUAGGGUUUUCUAUGUAUAGUGUCAUGUCAUCUGCAUACAGUGAGUUUUAUCUCUUCUCUUCCUAUUUGGAUGCCUUUUAUUUCUUUUGUUUGUCUGAUUGCUGUGGCUAAGACUUCCAAAACUAUGUUGAAGAGCAGUGGUGAGAGUGGGCAUCCCUGUCUUGUUCCAGAUUUGAGUGAGAAGGCUUUCAGUUUUUCUCCAUUGGUAUCAUAUGUGCUGUGGGUUUCUCAUAAAUGGCUUUGAUUAUGUUCAGGAAUGUUCCCUCUAUACCCACUUUUGCCAGGGUCUGGAUCAUGAAUGGAUGUUGGACUUUGUCAAAUGCUUUUUCUGCAUCUAUUGAGAUGAUCAUAUGGUUUUUGAAUUUUCUUUUGUUAACUGUGGUGUAUGACGUUGAUUGAUUUGCGUAUGCUGAACCAUCCUUGUGAACCUGGGAUGAACCCUACCUGGUCAUGGAGUAUUAUCUUUUCGAAAUGUUGUUGGAUUCGGUUGGCUAAGAUUUUGUUGAGAAUUUUUGCAUCUAUUUUCAUCAAAGAUAUUGGCCGAUAGUUUUCUUUUUUGGUGUUAUCUUUGUCUGGUUUUGGAAUUAGGGUGAUGGUGGCAUCAUAGAAUGUCUUUGGGAGUAUUCCUUCUUCUUCAACCUUUUGAAAGAGUUUAAGGAAGGAUGGGCACCAGAUCCUCUUUAUAUGUUUGGUAGAAAUGGCCUGUGAAGCCAUCUUGUCCUGGGCUUUUAUUUGUUGGGAGAGUUUUUAUGACAUAUUCAAUUUCAUUUCUAGUGAUUGGUCUGUUCAGUUGGUCUGUUUCUUCUUGAUUCAGUUUUGGCAGGCCGUAAGAUUCUAGAAAAUUGUCUAUUUCUUCCAGAUUGUCAAAUUUGUUGGCAUAUAGGCAUAUAGUUGUUCAUAGUAUUCUCUUAGGGUAUUUUGUAUUUCUGCAGUAUCCAUUGUGAUUU